rnacentral:rRNA from 1 species
UUCCUACGGGGGGCAGCAGUGGGGAAUAUUGCACAAUGGGGGAAACCCUGAUGCAGCAACGCCGCGUGAGUGAAGAAGUAUUUCGGUAUGUAAAGCUCUGUCAGCAGGGAAGAAAGCAAUGACGGUACCUGACCAAGAAGCCCCGGCUAACUACGUGCCAGCAGCCGCGGUAAUACGUAGGGGGCAAGCGUUAUCCGGGAUUACUGGGUGUAAAGGGAGCGUAGACGGCUGUGCAAGUCUGGAGUGAAAGGCGGGGGCCCAACCCCCGGACUGCUCUGGAAACUGUAUGGCUGGAGUGCAGGAGG